AUAAAAAUCUAUUAUUUUUUUAAAAAAAGGAAUGAGACAGAUAGCAUGGCCACUGUACAAGGAUGACGUGCAAAUUCGUAAAGUGUUCCAUAAACAA
rnacentral:snRNA from 1 species